GUGUAGUCAAUUUGGCCAAACAGGUCCUUCCCUCAUGGGGGUCUUGUGCACAAUGGCUAUAGGCAACCAUCUUCUUGGUAGUGUAUGAAGCCUGUUGCUUAUAAGGGCUACGCUUAAGAACCUUGGGGAUAGAU